rnacentral:rRNA from 1 species
UACGGAGGGGGCUAGCGUUGUUCGGAAUUACUGGGCGUAAAGCGCACGUAGGCGGCUUUGUAAGUUAGAGGUGAAAGCCCGGGGCUCAACUCCGGAAUUGCCUUUAAGACUGCAUCGCUAGAAUUGUGGAGAGGUAAGUGGAAUUCCGAGUGUAGAGGUGAAAUUCGUAGAUAUUGGGAAGAACACCGGUGGCGAAGGCGGCUCUCUGGACCGGUUCUGACGCUGAGGCGCGAAAGCGUGGGGAGCAAACAGG